GUGGACUGAAGAGAAAGAAACACAGCCCAGUAUUUUUUAUCUCAAACUCCCCAGAGAGCUCUGGGUUUCUGUAUCACUUUCUGAAGAAGCCCCAUCAACUUCUCAGAGACUUCUGAAAAGGCUUCAGAAGACAAAACUACUUCCAAAGACAAAAGCAUCUGGCUUCCCUAGAAGACCCGGCAGCCAAAAUGCAGAGAUGUCUUGACAGGAACUGCUGGAUUUAUGGCAUGAGGAUUUCCUGGAGAAGUCAAGGACAGUGCAGACAGCUUGAUGGAGAACCACCUGGAUGUGGCAGUGAAUCUACUGCUGGUACAGAGAGGGAUUUGGCUUCAGCUGCGGAGGAACCAAGAGACGUGCCACCAUCUGUCUUCUCCUCAUGACAAGCCAUGAUGCCACCACUUCGGUGGUCAUGUCUGGCCAUGGUCAGGUCAUUGUGCCUGGGGAGCUCAGGAGUCCCAGAAUCAACGUCUCCAGUGACAAAGUACAAAGGAGCUUGCCAAAAAGAUGAGGAACGAGCAGCUCAGGAUAACCAUGAAGUUGGAUUGAAAAUGUCACGAAUACACAAGAGUUCUUCAAACACUAUAAACCUCACACAUUUAAAUAAAAGAGCAAUUGCAA